GACGAACGCUGGCGGCGUGCUUAACACAUGCAAGUCGAACGGAAAGGCCCUGCUUUUGUGGGGUGCUCGAGUGGCGAACGGGUGAGUAACACGUGAGUAACCUGCCCUUGACUUUGGGAUAACUUCAGGAAACUGGGGCUAAUACCGGAUAGGAGCUCCUGCUGCAUGGUGGGGGUUGGAAAGUUUCGGCGGUUGGGGAUGGACUCGCGGCUUAUCAGCUUGUUGGUGGGGUAGUGGCUUACCAAGGCUUUGACGGGUAGCCGGCCUGAGAGGGUGACCGGCAAAGUGGUGGCGGGGCACCCGCCCGGAGGGGGAGGGGGGGCAGAGGGGGGGAAUGUUGCGCACGGGGCGGAAGGGUGAGGCAGCGGCGGGGAGGGGGGGAGGAGGGGCGGGGGGUUGAAGCACGAUCUCGGGGGGGAGGAGGAGGGAGUUGGGGUAAGGAGUAAGAAAGCACCGGCAAAAUACGGGCGAGCAGCAGAGGAAAAAAGAAAGACCAAAUGUUUCAGU
rnacentral:rRNA from 1 species